rnacentral:lncRNA from 1 species
GGCAAGUAGCAUUGCGCUUUGCGUCAGAGAAUCGAAAAGAUUUAAGUAGAUCGAUUUCUCAUUUUCCACACCUAUUAGGCUUCUUUUUUUCGAGUGUAUGCUCAUACAUCUACAUGUACGUAUACAAUUAGCAGCUUCCUCUCGACUUAUUUUAUUAAUUGAGCUGCAAAAAGUUGAGCCCCUAUAACCCAACCAGAACCCAGUCCACUCCACUCUCAGCACAGCUGCCAGCAUACUCCAAUCUAAAACUCCCCCUAGGAGAGAGCAGACGACAACACACCGCUGUAGGGCAGACACCAGGAGCCAGGAGCCAGGAGCCAGGAGCAACAGGAAACCGAGCCAAAGUUCGUCGAGUCACAGUCGAAGUCAUGGCAACGUAUGGAAAUCCCCAUGUGCGUGUGUACACAAAAGUUGCUCUGGGAAUUGCCUGGAUGGAAGGAGGAGCGGGGGCGCACAGAAACAAAACCGCAGGAGGCUCUGAGGCAGAGCUGGGAUUGGAGCGAACCAAAGCCGAAGAGCAGAUAGAGAGAGAGAGGGAGAGAGAGGAAUGCUACGAAUAAAAUUUCAUUAAAUACACC